rnacentral:rRNA from 1 species
UGGCGAACGGGUGAGUAACACGUGGGUGAUCUGCCCUGCACUAUGGGAUAAGCCUGGGAAACUGGGUCUAAUACCGGAUAGGACCAUGCUUUAGUGUGUGUGGUGGAAAGUUUUUUCGGUGUAGGAUGAGCCCGCGGCCUAUCAGCUUGUUGGUGGGGUAAUGGCCUACCAAGGCGGCGACGGGUAGCCGGACUGAGAGGUUGGUCGGCCACAUUGGGACUGAGAUACGGCCCAG